GUCGACAAUACUCUAGAGAAUCAUUUCUAUAGGUUUUGUCCCAUCUUCUAUGUUUCCCAACAUAGCUACAGAUCCCACCCAGGUUGAUGACUGCAAAUCCUCGACAUGCCCUAGAGUGAACACACCACUUUUACUCCCGACCCGCCUGCAAAGGUGGCGGUUGCCUCGUGCAACUGUAUAGGGAGUGGUGAUGAUCUCUACCCCGAUCUUCCUCGAGGUCUUGCCUUCGGGCGCUCGGGCGGGGUGGCUGCCGAUGGACGUCUGACUGGC
rnacentral:snoRNA from 1 species